GGCUGCAGUCGAGGAUCUUUCGCAAUGCCCGAAAGGGUGACGAAGCGACGCCGCGUGUGGGAAGAAGGCCUUCGGGUUGUAAACCACUGUCGGGAGUUAGGAAAUGCAGGUGCGUUAAUAGCGCACUUGCUUGACUAAGGCUCCAGAGGAAGCCACGGCUAACUCUGUGCCAGCAGCCGCGGUAAUACAGAGGCGGCAAGCGUUGUUCGGAAUUAUUGGGCGUAAAGAGCACGUAGGCGGCCUUGCAAGUCAGUUGUGAAAGCCUUCCGCUUAACGGAAGAACGGCAUCUGAUACUACAGGGCUUGAGUACGGGAGGGGAGAGUGGAACUUCUGGUGGAGCGGUGAAAUGCGUAGAUAUCAGAAGGAACGCCGGCGGCGAAAGCGACUCUCUGGUCCGAAACUGACGCUGAGUGUGCGAAAGCUAGGGGAGCAAACGGGAUUAGAUACCCCGGUAGUCCUAGCCGUAAACGAUGGGCACUAAGUAGAGGGGUUUUGAUUAUUUCUCUGCCGGAGCUAACGCAUUAAGUGCCCCGCCUGGGGAGUACGGCCGCAAGGCUAAAACUCAAAAGAAUUGACGGGGGCUCACACA
rnacentral:rRNA from 1 species